GAGGAAUAUUGGGCAAUGGGCGAAAGCCUGACCCAGCAACGCCGCGUGAGGGAUGAAGGCCUUCGGGUUGUAAACCUCUUUUCUGGGGGAAGAGACAAGGACGGUAUCCCAGGAAUAAGUCUCGGCUAACUACGUGCCAGCAGCCGCGGUAAUACGUAGGAGGCAAGCGUUAUCCGGAUUCACUGGGCGUAAAGCGCACGCAGGCGGUUAUGUAAGUCGGACGUGAAAGCUCCUGGCUCAACUGGGAGAGGUCGUUCGAUACUGCAUAGCUUGAGGUUGGGAGAGGGAAGCGGAAUUCCCGGUGUAGUGGUGGAAUGCGUAGAUAUCGGGAGGAACACCAGUGGCGAAAGCGGCUUCCUGGCCCAUACCUGACGCUCAGGUGCGAAAGCGUGGGGAGCGAAC
rnacentral:rRNA from 1 species